UACGUAGGUGGCAAGCAUUAUCCGGAUUUACUGGGCGUAAAGGGUGCGUAGGCGGCUUUUUAAGUGAGAUGUGAAAUACCCGGGCUCAACCUGGGGGCUGCAUUUCAAACUGGAAAUCUAGAGUGCAGGAGAGGAAAGUGGAAUUCCUAGUGUAGCGGUGAAAUGCGUAGAGAUUAGGAAGAACACCAGUGGCGAAGGCGACUUUCUGGACUGUAACUGACGCUGAGGCACGAAAGCGUGGGGAGCAAACAGG
rnacentral:rRNA from 1 species